rnacentral:lncRNA from 10 species
UUGAAAUAGUGAGUACUCAUGAGAUCUGGUUGUUUUAAUGUGUGGAACCUCCCCUCCCACUCCCUCUUGUUCCUGCUUUUGCCAUGUGACAUGCAAGCUCCUGCUUCACCCCUGCCAUGAGCAAAAGCUUCAUGCGUCCUCCCCAGAAGCCAAGCAGAUGCCGGUACCAUGUUUUCUGUUCAGCCUGCAGAACUGUGCAUGGAACAGUGGCACUUUUCUUUUGUCUUGAAGUUGUAGCCAUUAAACUGCACUGGCCAGUCAAAUAUAGGUCUUGUUAAUGAGACAAGAAACACCUGUGUUUGGCUUGCCAUGAAGAAUUAUACUGGCUGUUUUGACCUCUGGAGGAAGGCUGAGCCCUUUGGCAUCACAUGUGUUUGCAGCUCGUCAAGCUGGCUGGAUAUCCCACCUCUCCAUGCCCUAUAGCUCUGUCUCGGAACCUGUGAUUGCUGUGAAUUGUGUCAUCUGCACACAGUUCACUAACCAGUUAUGUAUAGACUGGUUAUGCUACAUUUAGUAGUUUGUGUUUUAUUCUGACAGUUGGAAAGCCACAAGAGAGUUUUAAGUUGGGGAGUAACAAAUAAAUCUAUAAUUUAAUGGGACUACCAUGCCUGCUUUGUGACAAAUGGAUCACUAGAAGGCAGAAAUUGUAGUGGGGUGACCAGUUUGAAGGAUGUUGAAAUGACUGCAAAUAAACAAGUUUCACAGGUUCUUUAAGGAAAAAAAAAAAAAGAAAUAGCUGACAAUUCUAUGCCCAAUCAAGUUGUCAUUGAGAUAAAGUUAACAGAAUGUUUGUUAAUAUAUAAAAUGUUUAAAUUAAAUGUUAAAUAUAUUAAAUAAAAUCUAUUGUAAAAAUAAAGCUCUAUGUUAAAGCAAAAGGAAUAAUGGAAAUGGAAUGAGGGGAGAAAACAUACCAAAUAAAUCAAGUAAAAUAUCAAUAGUUAAGUUUUUCUCUUUUCAAUUAUUAUUUCUAGAAGAACUAGUUUAUGUAUUACUUUUAUACA